rnacentral:rRNA from 1 species
GACGAACGCUGGCGGCGUGCUUAACACAUGCAAGUCGAACGAAGAGCGAUGGACGCUUGCUUCUAUCAAUCUUAGUGGCGACCGGGUGAGUAACGCGUAAUCAACCUGCCCUUCAGAGGGGGACAACAGUUGGAAACGACUGCUAAUACCGCAUACGAUCCAAUCUCGGCAUCGGGACUGGAUGAAAGGUGGCCUCUAUUUAUAAGCUAUCACUGAAGGCGGGGAUUACGGCUGAUUAGCUAGUUGGAGGGGUAACGGCCCACCAAGGCGAUGAUCAGUAGCCGGUCUGAGAGGAUGAACGGCCAACUUGGGACUGAGACACGGCCCAGACUCCUACGGGAGGCAGCAGUGGGGAAUCUUCCGCCAUGGACGAAAGUCUGACGGAGCAACGCCGGGUGGGUGAUGACGGCCUUCGGGUUGUAAAGCUCUGUUAAUCGGGACGAAUGGUUCUUGUGCGAAUAGUGCGAGGAUUUGACGGUACCGGAAGAGAAAGCCACGGCUAACUACGUG